CUCGUCCCUGUCCAAUGGCAUCUCUUAACCAACCCCGAGCCCGUCCAGCGUUCGCCCUCUCCCUCUCUUGGUAACCAAUCUAUCCUCUCCCCACAAAACACAAACCGAGGCAGGGAGGAAGCUGUAUAGCCUACGACCUGGAGAGAAAGAGAUAGCGCUACCGGAGAGGAGACGGAUCUCUGAACCUUUUAUCAAUUUUCUCUCUCUCCCACCCCACGCUUCGGGUCUGGAUCGAUAUUCCCGUCGGGGGAUCGGUUGGAGUUGAAGGCACUCAAAACCGAUACUUGUCGACCUUUCCUGGAUAUAAGAACGUGCGCGAGGAGGAACCGGCGGUGAACCAGUGUACCCUUGGCUACCCUUUCUCGGCCCGCGCUCUACCCGAUAAAUCCACUUGUUACAGCGCGCUUUAAGAACCCACUUGGACCAGCCAGACGAGAUAAAUUGCGUGCUUGUAAGGAUAGUCUUAUGAAACUUUACCAUCUAGGCUAUACCAAGUAGCACCAUUUAGCGACAUUACGUGAACUUUACAGUCCAGAUAGGCCAGGUGUUUACGGUAAGAAAUCUCAACGAAGAAAUCCGAGUAUUCAAAUCGCUAGUUCCGUCCUCAUGAUCUCGACAUUAUACAGCCGGAGAAAGCUCCUGGCGGUUUACGUCACUGGUAACGAGUCUAGACAACCUCUGGUGAUUUUUAGUGACUUCGACAUAUCAGGAUAUACGAAUUCAGUUCUGCGGCUAAAUUAGUGACUCAAGGACAUAUGGUCUGUAGGCGCAGGGGAUUUAGUGCCAAAACAACACUGCCUCUCCAGAGCGCGUUCUCCCCGGGAGAGAUUGGAUAGAGCGGUCAGAGUCUGAGGAAUGCGGGCACUGUUUCCCUGGAUCUCCACCUCACCUGCGGAGACUCUCCGCUGCACACACCAAAUUGAACGUUGACCGGGUGACGCAAGCGGUCAUGUUGAGGCAAAUCCUGCUGAAUUCCACCAACGCACCGGACUUCGACUUAGGGUUGGCCCAUCAGACGCACGCGUCUGGGUCCGUGAACGCAUCUAACGGCUCGGUGAGCAUGGCGGGCCUGCUCAGGCCCACGGAUAACAGGGGAGGACUGCGGGAGGGCGGAGAGCUGAACAAACCAGACCUGGCAACCUACGUGGUGAUCUGUCUGGUUCUGUUUCUGCUCGUGCUGCUCAUCGUCUUCUUCAUCAACUGUCAGCUGAGGACCUCCUUUUUCGCCUCCAUGCCCUACGAUAGGUCUCUCAGAGAGGCCCGGACAUCCUACAAGUAGAACCCGUUACCCCAUCGGGUGGUAACGUUUGUACCAGGACUGGGUAACUUGUGUUAUCGAAUGUAGUCAUGGAGGAAUUUACGAUUUUUGCCAACUGCAUGGUCCAAACGCUGUGCGUAACCGUUAAGUGUUAAUUUGGCACAAUGAGAUAGAGGCCUAUUACGCACCAUGUUCCAAACUGGACUAAUGUCAUUAUGUGCAUAUAAAUGUUUGUUUGUUUGUGUAUAUACAACAUUUUGUAUAACUGCACUGUAAUGAAUUUGCGCUAUUAUGUAGGCCUGUUGUGUAAUUCUGCCGCUUAAAGUUUCAUUCCUUGUCCUGUGUAAAACCAUGAUUAAAUCUAUAUGAUAAAUAUAUGAACAACAUAUGGUGAUGAUGAUAAUGUGAU